rnacentral:rRNA from 1 species
GGUGAAACCUAAUUGGCCUGAAGAAGAGCUUGCGUCUGAUUAGCUAGUUGGUGGGGUAAAGGCCUACCAAGGCAACGAUCAGUAGCUGGUCUGAGAGGAUGAGCAGCCACACUGGGACUGAGACACGGCCCAGACUCCUACGGGAGGCAGCAGUGGGGAAUUUUCCGCAAUGGGCGAAAGCCUGACGGAGCAACGCCGCGUGAGGGAGGAAGGUCUUUGGAUUGUAAACCUCUUUUCUCAAGGAAGAAGUUCUGACGGUACUUGAGGAAUCAGCCUCGGCUAACUCCGUGCCAGCAGCCGCGGUAAUACGGGGGAGGCAAGCGUUAUCCGGAAUUAUUGGGCGUAAAGCGUCCGCAGGUGGUCAGCCAAGUCUGCCGUCAAAUCAGGUUGCUUAACGACCUAAAGGCGGUGGAAACUGGCAGACUAGAGAUCAGUAGGGGUAGCAGGAAUUCCCAGUGUAGCGGUGAAAUGCGUAGAGAUUGGGAAGAACAUCGGUGG